UUAGCCUCUGAUCCUACCUCAUUUUCACUGACAUUCACUAUGUUAGACGUCCAAUCAUCACCAACCUUCUUGGUGAAAACAAACAUAAAAGUCUGGGUAAGGAUAAAAGGGGUAAGGAGGAAUAGUCUACACUUACUGUAGUUGUGCUUAGGGGAAUGAAGAAUUGCUGGUUCUGCUAGCGGUGAUUUCCUGCUGAAUGUGAAGAUCUGGUUUUGCUGACAGCUGCUAGUUGCCUCCUAGGGGGAGUGCUGAAGAGGCCUUGCUGUCUUAUCACUCAUUUGCUGAGAUAGGGUUGGGUUGUUUGGUUUUUUUUGCCAGGUUGGUCUUUCCUUAUCAUUGUGAAAUUCUGGCUUCAGUGAUCUAUUGGGAGGAGGAGAGGAAGGGAAAAAUCCUCUGCAGUAGAACAUCAGAGUUAAACACCUCGGGAAUGGAGAUUGUUCGUAACUCGGAAAUCUUUAUAACUCUGAACAAAACAUUAUGGUGGUUCUUUCAAAAAUUUAUAACUGAACAUUGGCUUAAUACAGCUUUGAAACUUUACUAUUGUAGCCAGGGGGCGUGGUUUCCCUCCCUGACAGACUGGGAGAGAGCUGCGACCGCCCUCUGGUGGGCAGAGCCAGGACACCCAUGACCACCCGCUAGAAGCAGAGGGGUGGGAAAGGAACAGGAAAUAUAAAAGACCGGCCCUCCAGCUCAGUUGAGGGAAAGCUGCCAGAGGAGCAGGACAUCUCCCCACCACUGCUGGAGCUCAGACCCAACGGAGGCCGCUACAGCGCCAGAGACCCGGAGCUGUUAGAGCUGCCACUAGCCAUUCACCCCUGCAAGACAAAUGACAACCCAGGAACCAAGGUACCCCCUGAAUGGGAGUGUAGGAGGGAGCCCAGGGAAGCCAAAUAGGGUUUGGCUGCGUUAUUGAUAGCAAGCCAGCCAGCGUGUUACUGGAUUCCACCCUGACCCAGUGGCAGAUCACUCCGCCACUGCUAGGGCCCACUGUUGUGGGCCUGCAUCCCCCUAGUCAUGCCCCCCUGCCCCUCCCCAAGGGGCCUGCCUUGGUCUGUCAUCCACCCGAGCUAGGAUGCCACACAGUUUUGCUAUCUGCCCCACCAGAGAGCUGAUCUCCCUAGACUGCUGUGCUGCUCUGCCUGACUGCAAGCCAGAGCCAUUGACUGUUGGCUGCCCCACCCUGGCUUAGGGCCAGGGCUCACAGACUCAAUUGCUGCUGGCCUGGACAGCAGGCUUGGGCCUACUAACUGUUGGCUAAUUCCCCCCUGAACUGAGUUGCUCCAGAGGCAUUGUAGAGAGGGGGCGUGGUCUCCUUUCCUGACUGAUGGAGAGAGCUGCAACUGCCUUACAACUAUGCAGAAGAAAAUGCUGCUUUCCCUUUAUUUUUUAGCAGUUUAUAUUUAACACUGUACUGUAUCUGCUUUUUUUGGCUCUCUGCUGCUGCCUGAUUGUGUACUUCUGGUUCCAAAUGAAGUGUGUGGGCGACUGGUCAGUUCGAAACUCUGGUGCUCAUAACCCUGAGGUUCUACUGUACAUAAAUGUUGUUGCUAGCUUGAUUUGAGAUGGGGAAGGCAAUCAGAUAUGAAUAUUUGGCUGCAUUACACAAACAUACUUUAUAUUCUUUCUUCCCUUUUGUGUAAUGACACAGGAUCGCCGUUCCAUUGCUGCCUGCCUGCCCCUUUUGCUGUCUUUGACCAUCCCAACUGAAAAUAGUAUUAGCUGAAGUACAACAGUUUUCUGCAACAGUACAACUUUUAGACUAGUUUUUGGAAAUACUCUGUUGAAUUAAGAGCCAUAGUUUCUGGGCCUUGCACAAUGUAAUGCAAGCACUUAAGCGUCUACGAAAAAUAAGACCAAAUAUAAGCUAAAUCAGUGGUGAAGGCCCUGUGGCUCAACAUUCAAAGGUGGCUGAUUGAGUCAUAGUGGUCAGGCCCCAGCUCUUUCCUCAGUGUCCCUGAGUAAAGAAAGCUGGCACACUUUUUUGUUUGCUUGUUUGUGGUUACUCUAACAAAAAUAUUUAUCUACCUGGCAAGAUCGAUCUAAAAAUAAAAUUUGUAUAAACACAGUGUAUGAAUGUCAGAGCUUGUCAAAGGUGUUAGACUGAUAAUGCUAGAGCCCUUUAUUUAUCUACAGAUCUGGUCCAGCACAGCCAGUGGCAAUGAAAGUUCCUCUAUAUUCCUUCAUAGAAGGAUCUUCUGUAUGGGAUAAAGUAUAGUGCAGUCCCUUUAUCAUCUUUCAUCACAGAGCUACCGUCCUUUGGGGAAUGAUGCCUAAGCUUGCUUCAACAACAGCGAGAAUUGAUUGUGUGUUCCUGUAUUUCAGAUUGCUACAGCUUCCUGUUACAGGUAUUCUACUUUCCUAAAGAGGGCCUUCUGUGUAUAGUGAGAACUAGUCUGUUUUCAGAAGAAUCUUCACAAAAUGAAGAGGGGCAGGAGCAGUGGCUAGUGGCAUUCUGCAGCUAGGCCAAGAAUGUUUGGCAAAAAGAGUGAGUAGCCACAAGAAACUGACAUAGGCCUUAAAGGACCAGGACCAGGCACAGCUUUUUCAGUAUUGGGCGUCUACAAUAAGGCAGGUGAUUGCAGCUCAAAAUACUAGGACUUAUUUGUCGGAUUCCAAGAUGACCAAGUAAUCAGAUGGUAAGAAUUUACCUAGACAGAAUAAAGGAGGGGCUUUUCAGAAUUGGAGCCAAAGAGGAGGUGGGCUCUAGAGAAUGGUGAAUUUGAAGGAAGAUUUCUCAUUCACGGUUCCAGGAUGAAGAAAAUAAUUGCGGACAAUGAGAGAACUGAUAAAGGGUUGCAAAGGGAGGCUGUAGGCAAGUAUAUUGUGCCAAUACAGAUGCCUUUUGAUCAAAUACAGAGCAGCAGAUGCAUCAGUCAUGUCAAAGUGUGCUGCUUUUUGUUUGGUUUCUUUUACAGCAUCAUUGAUGACAACAGUUAGCAGAGAAGACGCGUGAUCUUCUUCAGUUCUGCGCACUAUUCAGUCUGUCAAAGCAUGUGACCUCCAGAAGAAGAAAGAGGAGCGUGCAUGUACCAGCAAUGCAGACACAGGACAGAGGACCCAAAACUGAAGAGUGAUCUCUAGGAAGCGGUCAUCCCCAAGUACUGUUGGGAGAGGAGGAGCUCCAAGGACAAGUAGUUCUACUGGUGAUGCAGAAGAGGUGCCUGGGUCAUUUGCCUCCAAACUCAUGAGCUUCCUCCUGCCCACAUUGACCCUUGACUACAGAAUGAUGGGGCAACAUUUCCAGCUAAACAGUCCUCUAGAGUCUGAUCAUGCAGAAUAAGAACAGCACAAUGGAACCGGAGACCUCUCGUCUGGGUCACUUCCCACUUCCAACCAACAGAAACAUCUGGCAGCUUCUGCCCCUGCUUGCAGACAACUUCCCAACUUUGCUUUCUGAAUUUCAUGGAUCACAGGAUGAGGGAUCUUAGACACAGGAUCCAGUACAGAUUCCCAUACUAAUUCUGAAAGGUGAACCAAAAUGCACACUGGUUGCUCUAUGCCCUCCUAUGCUGUUGCAUAUGCUGCAAGGAGUAUAUAUUAUAUACAAAAAAUAAGUUAAAAUGGAAAACUGCAACCUGCUGAUCACUGAUACAGCUGCCCUCACGAUUUCAGAAAGAAACAAACUUUCUUCAAACGAACUUUACUUAGGAAGUUGAGACCAUUUAAAUAAUAGAUAUUGCAUUUCUCUUAUUUCUUAAUUUGGGGCCACAGAUGAGAACCUUUUUUGGUAUUUUCCGUUUGUGUCUUAUCUAAGGGUGAAAGUAAGUCCAGUGACUUACCAGUACGCUGGGGCCAGCUCUGGCCCCCGGAAGGGGCGGGGCCUAAGGCAGAAGGGGCGUGGUUGAGGGAGUCAGAGCCAGCCCCAGCCCACCCUGUAAGGUAAGUGCCCCCCCC